ACACAAAAUUUUGUCGGGCCGCAUAAUUCUAUUACAUAUUUUUACGUAUUAUAUUACGUAUUUUAUACUUAUACUUUGUUUAAUUAACGGUAACUACGAUAUCGUAGCGAUGAAAAUUGAAAAGAAGAAAUACCGACUUAUACCGACGUACAAAGCAUGACUUAGAUAAGAACUUACACGAGCUGACGAUCACGUAUCCGGAUGAUGCAGAAACAUAAUGCAUGUGCAAUGCGCACAUCUUGAGACUGAACGUGCGCUGACGUCAGUGGUUGUCGAUUUGAUCUAGGUGAAAUCGAUUUCGCUACCAAGGACGAAAUUCUACCGCUAUCGAUAUACUUGGCGUAAAACGCGAUAUCGAUCGUUAGACGAUUUAACAAGGAUUUCAAGGAUGUUCGAGAAAUGCGUUUUGCUUUAUUAUUUCUCAACAACGGGUCUGCUUGGUUUUCUGCUGCUACGAUUCGUAAGUAAUGGUUUUGAAUCUUAGUAUCGGCCGGUUCAACGACACUUUGUAUAAUUUCAAUAACGUUGGCGACCGGACAAACUUUCUCGCUUUGGUUAUCGUUUCUUUCGCGAGAUAAAAACCUGAAAAGUCGCCUUCGUUCUGUUUCAAGCGUCGUUUAUCAAACAGUACGAAUUAACGUAUCUGGUAGUUUCCUAAAUAUGCGGCGUCCGAAUGUUUCUCGCGUGUCGCGUUAUCUCGUAUAUUAUAGAGCGAAAUCAAAGAAAGAAUGGAAGAACGGACGAAAAUAGAAGUAGACGACAAGCUCUAAACUAUCGCGAUCUCGGAGGCGGCAGACUGAUACGUCGAGUUACAGAGGCCAGUAUAUGGUGUGUAGAGAAAGGGAAAGUCAAUCGGGUGAAAGUCGCUCGUCUGGAUAGUUUUACCUCCGUUUAUCCAACGUGUACACGAUCCUACACCACGAGACCACGAUCUUUCGCCCUCUGUUACGCUGCCUUUGCUCUUUUUCGAUUUCAUUCCUCUUGUACCCUUGUCUCUGGCUAACCGAGCAUUCUGUCACUCUGCUUCUGUGGCCGAUAUAAGAUUCCACGUUGAUAACAAACAUUUUUGUUUUUUAUAAAUUUACACUUUACGAUAAACGAUGUUAUGUUUAAUUAUUGCUGCGUGGUUAUCGGUAUGAUCUUUGCUCGUUUAAACAGAAUUUAGUUAAGCGAACUUGACCGAACCCACGAUGACCUAUUCGACUCGGCAUUCAACAAAAUAUCAUAUCAACCUACGAUAAUAACGAUAAAAGAGAUAACAGCUCGAAUUGAUAUCAUUUUGCAUUUCCAUAUCGUUUUAGGCAAUAUGUUAAACCAAAUUGUGUCUACAACUAACAAAAUUGACUCACCCGAACGUCUCGAACUUGGAGUACCUUAUCGAAUUAUGAAUCACGAAAUUAUUUAUUGCGAUCGUAGGUAUUUGGAAACUAAAUAUAUUAAACUAUCUGGUACUUGUGUACCAAAAUUUUCAUUUACUACGAUGAGAAAACGUUGCCUUAAAGUAUAUCGAUUUGGCUCUUAAAUAUUUAUUCGAACGAUCGAUAUGCUUCGAGAUAAUCCUAUGGAAAGAUUAGGCAAAAGUAAUUUAUUACGUUCUCAAGCCUAAGCGAUGCGAGUUAUGUUACUCGAAAGAAACGUCGAUAAAAGAGAAAUUCGUAACACUUAUGUAUUUCUUUUACCGCAGAAUUAACCAAUUGUAUACGAGAUUUUACGAGCAGAAAAAUGUUUCACGUUCUUACGCAAUAGAAAUUUAUCGCUUGUUUGAAAUUAACAUGACACGUGAAAGUGGUGAUCGACGUGGCGCCAGUCGUUAAAAAUGUGACAGAAUGAGAAAGUGAUUCUUCGUAAUAAGCGUGCGUUUGUCGCGGCCAUUAAUCGAUGUACGAAAUUGCUCGCGGAAUCGCUAAGCUGACGAUAUAUAAAAAUAUCGUUCGGUGAAAGCGUAAUUUAUACAGAGUCAGGGAAGAGAUUUCAAUUGUUUUAUAAAACUAACAUAAUUCGCUAUUUGGAAGUGUAUUUGCGUUAAUAGGCGGGAAACGAAAUAGAACUAGAGCCAUAAUUUCGUAAUCCUAUCCCCUGCCUUUGUCGAUGGCAACGAGGUAACGAUAAGAGAAACGAGAUGCGAUUAGUCGAAGAAUUCGUCUAUCGAGAUUUUGAUCUGUAGAUUUCAAUUUCGAUGUAUGCAACUUUAACGCGAGAGCAGCGUCAUAAAGCCAACUCUGCUUCCAUCGUUCAAACCGCGCGCUACCGAUAAGAAUCGGAGGCAAUCGGUACGUCUACAUCGACGCGUAUCCGUCUACGUAACGCGCUAAGAACCGCAUCCUUGCUUCACGUUGGAACGUUUCAAGGAAAUCGUGCAUCAUGCUGUACCCUGAAGCUCAUCUCGUUGUGCAAUUUUUUCUCGUAUACUCAUCACGAUCUAUCGUAACUUUACGCGUUUAACGACGAAAGAAAACUCGCCUGCGACAGAAAGUUUCAAAUAUCCCGCCAACGUGUAGCAGCAGGUCCGUUAAAAGACCGUUCGAUCUUUUAAAUGCCCUCCUAUUUGUGUAAAUUGUGCGAAUCCUCCGACGAAUAAGACGUGGAAAAGGAAAACCGUAGAAGAAACGCUAGGGAAGUUGCAGAGAAGCGAGAUCGCGUGGAAAUAAUCGCGGUGUUUCGCGUUGCGGCCUGAUGGUGGAUACCUCGUUGUGAAAAAAGUGGGAUCGCUAGAGAGAUAAGCUUGGCGGAAUGGCCGACGUGCGCGAUUUCGAGGGGUCAGUUUUCGCAUCGGCGGUAAAGAAGGCAAGCGGAUAACAAGUUUUUCGCACGGGGCACUACCGUGGGGCCGAGUUACGCGAGCUAACUCUUCUCUCCGUCCAGUUUGCUGAGCGCGGCGUGCAUUUACCCGUAUCGUUGCGCGACUACUUACCUGGCUGGCAGCGUGUCGCUGCCUUGGCCUUUAACGAUUCCUCGAACGAUCUCGCAGCUCCGAUUUCCAUCGAUUCGAUGCCGAUCUCCGCGACAAGCGCGCGCGGCUAUCCUUUUUCUUUCUUCUCUAUCGCGAAUUUCAACGGUUCGACUCGUUUCGACUCAUCCGGCCUCCGCCUUUCGAUAACUCGUUUCCGUCGUUUGUAAACAACGCCGAGCCGGCUGAUCGGACUUGACCAAUGGUAAACGAAAUCUCGCUGGAUCUUCGAUCAAACGGCAUUUACGUUACAUCGUGGCGGCGGUGAAAAUCGGCGUGCGUACAACAUGUCGGUAAAUUGUUAUCGUGGAUUCGGCCGAACGACGAUCUCUUACAAUUCUACGGCACUACGAUUAAUUAGACCGUACAGGUACGACAUAGGAGAAAAAAAUAACUAAUAAUACUUUCACUUUAGAUGCCUGACGAUUUACGUAAUCUUAGCCGCAAGUCAAACAUCGUUUUCUUUGCGUUCGAUCUUAAACGAGACAAACGAGAAUAGAAUCGCGUGCACUUUUAUUAGUAUCCGAUUAGUAUUUCGUCGCUUUGUUCUUCUUUUUUUUUUUUUUUUUUUUUUUUUGCUAUUUAUAUGCUGUAGAAUGGAAGUUUCGAAAAUACCUUUCUCUCGAUUAAACGGUCGAAUGCGUGCAAUGCAAUGACAAUGUCAAAACUUUCAUCUUUUUCGUAGUACGUAAUUACGUACGUAAACGCGUAAUAUCAUUUUAUUACGUAUUUGCAACGAUUACGUGCAAUUAUUUAAACAAAGUUAAUAGACGUUAGAAAGUCGGAAAGAGAAGAUCGUGCGAAAAAUUGAAAAUAUCGCUAAUAGCGAGGAAAGUUAAUUUAUCGAGAAACGAAGAUCGCUAUUAUCUUUAUUUGCUUGCUCUGUGUCACAGAAGAACAACUUCCAUAAGGAGGGAAAGGAACAGGAAAGAAAGAAACUUGUCGUUGCCAGUAAAAGAAAAAGGAGGAAAGAAAGAAAGGAAAGAAAAGAAAGAAAAAAGAGAAGAAAAGAGAAAAUAUAGGAGCAAGCAAGAGGAAUACGAUUAAAUUUCAUGCAACAGUGUGCCGAUCGAGAUGCCGAUCUUUUAGAAGCAACUACGUAAAUAUAAUUUUUAGAUUAAGAAAGCGAAUUCAUCAUCCGCCAUAUCCAGAUCGAUGCGUUUCUCGAACAGAGAAGAGACGAGCGAACUUAUACCGAAUAAGUGUGAAAUUUGCAUGGUAAGAGUUUCAACCACUUUCCUCCAUUAGCCGUUGUGAAUAAAAGCGAUUCGAUCUGGGGACCGUGCGGAACAAGAAACGAGCAACUGGAACAAAAUCCAUCGUCGAAAGUUUCGAAAGUGUCCGUGAAGACGUCGCGGUCGAUGGGCGAACGAGAGAAACGGCUAGAGGAGAGACAAAGAGGAAGAGAGACGUCUCGUUACCGCGAUUAAAGACAGAAUACGGUAACAAAAGCGAGGCAGGAAGAAAAGGAAAAGUUAGCCGAGUGUCCAACAGAUGAGAACGAUCGAGAGAAGAGGAAGAGCAGGCGGUAGAGGAUUCUUGAGACGAGAAUGUGCCGGGGCUAAUAAGAAAAUGCCAUGCUGAAAAUGUCACACGCUGAGCAGCGUGACGUCACGCUACAACUCGUUUCUGCUUGUUUUUACGCUUCUGUUGUGUCGUCGAAACAUAAUCUUUGAAGCGAGAGUUUCAAACGAAAACGAAUCCAGAAUUGUUUAGCAGUCGAGCAUGUAAAUGCCUGGCAAUGUACGUAUUUCCUUAAAAAUCGCUCGGAGAGAUCGUUUUUAUCAUAUGUCUUAAAAUCGAAACAAUUUACUUAGUAGCUUGUAUUAAACUAUACUUGGGCUAUAUCAAUCGCGCGUCUUUCCGUUGUGUUAGAACUUGACGAGUGUCGUGAAAGUAUCAAUGAGAAUAAAAUCACGAUACAAUCAGAUACGAUGAGAAUGAAAAGAUAAUAGAAAACACAGUGCAGUUUCGAAUAAUCUUUCCAACGUUCAUAGUUUUACCGCUGUGACUAACGUAAUUAUCGUGUUCUUGUGUCGUCAUUGUAACCCUGUUACCUUUAUCCUCUGAGCUGUUACAGAUUACCGAACGCGUAUCUGUGCCAUAAUUAUCGGUGUUUCUAUCUUUUCUAUUCUAUGACUAAAUGAGAGCAACGUUACUUUAAACAAGCUUGAGUAUAUUUUGUAAAAUACUUUUGUAAAAAUUAAAAUUAAAGGAAAAUCGGUAUAUCAAGGUUAUUCGAGGAUUCAAAUUUUAAAAAUUUUUCGCUCACUGUUGAGAAAUGUCUUAUGUAAAGAUUCUAAAGCCUAGCCUUAGAGAAAUCUUAGUUAUCGGUUGUUCGAUGAUUAUAAUGAUACGCUGCCGAUUCUCCUCUGUCGAUUGACUUUCAGGCAAGCGGCAACCGAUUUUUACAAAACUGCUCGCAGCUGUAACGCCAACGUAUCGGUCGAAGGAGGAAGUGACAUUUUGCGAAAGGAAAGCCGGAAGUUCCGACACGAGGUCGUUCGAGUAGGAAGCGAGGUUAUCGCCAAUUUUAUAGACACUCGAUGUCAAGUCAAGCACUACGAGAAGAUCGAGCAUGACUUACGAAUAUCUGUGAAAUGAUCGAUUCACCGCUUAUCGGAAAGGGGAACCGAACAAAAUAUUAUUCUAUUAAACUUUUAUAACUCACGUUACUAUCGAUUAGGAUCUUAAUGAAACGAUAACGGGAUACUAAUGUUUGCGUUAAAUCGAAAUUCCAAACAUGGUAAAGGAUAAAGGAAAUAAUUAACGGUCGAAUACCUGAAUUCUUUACCUAUAUCAACUUGAGAUUAUUAAUCGGCAAUUAUCGAUGAGACAUUAAAUACAAAAAAAAAGCUCAUUUAGAAUUCAAUAACGCGAUUCGCACAACGAAUAGAGUAAUAUGCUAGCGAAAAAUUGAUUUUUUAUACAAGCGAGUAACGUUUAUUACGUUAAAGGUAAAAAGUAAAGACUAACGCGCACUUGAAUUUCAUUUCUUUACUUAUUAUUCUAUUCUUUAUUUAUUUGUUAUUCUACUUUAGUUCUUGUAUAUUUGGAUCCAUUCGAUGGAAUUUCUUCGUUUGUAUCAGAAAGCAAUUACUUUCCCAUUUAUUUUUUUAUUUGAAAAUCUUUUAUACGACCGAUUAAUCUCUCGGUGGAUGUUAUCUUUCGCUUAUCUUCUUAAUAGUCCUUUUAACAUUUUCGAUUCAAAAUACUUUUCUAGCAACGGAACGCUAAAAUUAUCGUGUUUAUUUAUAAUCUGUAUCAUUUACCAAAAUAAAACCAUGACAUUCGGUCAAUUUGUUUAAGAAUUCAGCAUGAUCGAUCGAUACGAUCGGUGUCGCUAGUUAACCGGUGUAAUAAAAAUCCUUGUAUCUUUUAUCUGAUUACGGUCAUCGUGUUAUAAUCAACAUCGUUUGAUAGUAGCUUGGAAGUCAGGCUCUGUCCAAUUAGAGGAUGUCACGGUUUUUCCCAUGACAUACGGGCCUAUGAGGGUCUGUUCGCGAUAGAACCCUAAUACGGAGAAGGAGGGUUAAUGCUUUCAACCCCAAACAGAUUCUCAUGGAGUUAUAUAUAACGACUAAUGGGAGUCAGUUUUCGUUAUGGUGGCCUAGCUAUACGUUGGUAUAGAUAUAUCAGUUUGGAACAUGCGGGCUCUUUGUAGGCCAUACGUGUUCUAUAUGAACGAAUUGAAAUCUCCAUUUCCACUAUAAACGACAUCGCGCGCUACGUCGACUCGCGAAUGAAAUUCAAAAUCUUACCGUGUUUAUUUUUCAUUGACCACGUUUCUUUCAAGUUUUCUUUCAGUCUAUGCGUCAUUUUAUACCGUUUCUAGCUUUUCUACUGAAAACUUUUAGAAUUUGUUUGUACUCGUUUCUGCCGGUAAUAAGUUUUUUCUAAAAGUAGUACUCAGUGCUGCGUAGGUAACGAUGAAUAGUCGGAAUAUAUUAAGCAUGGAGCAAAAAAUAACAAUAGGUACCGUAAGGUGUAUACGUAUACCUUUAAACGUGGCCUACGUAAACAUAUUUUUAAUAUACAAUUUUUUUUUUUUUAUUACUCCAUACUUUUUAUUACGAUGUAUCUCGAACUAUAACGUCAAUACCUCUAACUUUAUGUCGCGAAAACUGCAACUGUUCGUAAAGGAUCGAGCGAAAAACGUUUCAUCCGUAGGAUGUAUGCGAGCGAAAGCGACAACAAUAAAUCGCCAUGUUUGCAUAUCGUGUCUUCUUCUUGCAAUUCAGCAUUCGUUAUCUUUUCCGAUAUUUGUAAAACCUAUACGUUACUCGUUCGAACGAGCUUGAAAUUUUCAAUGUUUGAAAUUUCACGAAAGGAUUUUUUUUUUUGUAUCAACGUAAAUCGACGUAUCGCGUUGUUACACCAUUUACGACACGUUCAAAUUGUCGUACGUAUAAUCGAACGCUAACAGUGGUUACUUACAAUCUACGACUUACAUCGUGCAUGAAUAGAAGCUCAAUUUCAUUCAUGCGACUCUUCUCGGUAUUCUAUCGCGCGGCUACAUUCGAGCUAUCCUAUCACACUGCAUUGAAUACCGCGAGUGCAAUAAUUACGCGGCCUUUCGUAUGUCAACGUAACGUUUGGUUAUCUUUUCGCCGUAUAUAAUCUAUAACGAAAGCUUAUGUUUAAUAACCAUCGUGCAUAAAUCAUCAAUUACAUAUCUAUGUUCGUAGACUUUUAUCUCUUUCGAUUUUUAUAAAUUAGCCAAAUACCCAUUACGAACGUUUGACAUGUUGUUAUCUAUAUGUUUGAAAGUUCAAGUGUGACCGAAGGAUACGAGAUUUAUGAGAAAUAUCUUUAUCCUGUGAAACGAAGUUCGUUUGUUAAGUGCUGCUUUCUCAAAUAAAUGAAUAUCGUCGUAAAGCUUCUUA